UACGAAGGGGGCUAGCGUUGCUCGGAUUGACUGGGCGUAAAGGGCGCGUAGGCGGUUCGUACAGUCAGACGUGAAAUUCCUGGGCUCAACCUGGGGGCUGCGUUUGAUACCGUGCGGACUUGAGUGCGGAAGAGGUCGUGGAAUUCCCAGUGUAGAGGUGAAAUUCGUAGAUAUUGGGAAGAACACCGGUGGCGAAGGCGGCCACCUGGACGAGGACUG
rnacentral:rRNA from 1 species